ACGGCCCAAAGCUGCUCGGUCAGCUUGUCGCUGGUGAGUGCCACCUCCCAGCGGCAGCGACGCCGACGCAGCCGAUCCGCAGGAGUGACCACAGCCGCGUCGACGGCCGGCCCCUGCCCUCGCGCUGUGGUAGCAGCAACGAUUGCUCUCGGAGUUCGUCCCUGCCUAACAUGCGUCGCGAACUCGAAAGCACUUG
rnacentral:lncRNA from 1 species